UUUUUUUUUUUUUUUUUUUAGGGCUGCACCUGCGGCAUAUGGAGGUUCCCAGGCUAGGGGUCAAAUUGGGGCUACAGUUGCCGGCCUAUGCCACAGCCACAGCAAUGCCAGGUCCAAACCACAUCCGAGAUCUAUACCACAGCUUAUGGCAAUGCUGGAUCCCUUAACCCACUGAGCAAGGCCUGGGAUCGAACCCGCAACCUCAAAGUUCCUAGGUGGAUUUGUUUCUGCUGUGUCAUAACAGGAACUCCGACACUAUCUUUGAUGGAAGAAAAAAAAAAUAAUGCUAGCAAUCAGAACUGGAAAUAGAGAGUAAUUUACUUAGCCAACUAAUGAAUUCUCCCUGCUUAAAAAGAUUCAAGCAGAAGAGAGGAUUAUGGCUGCUGUAGAAUAAAUUCUUGCGUUGGGCGGCAAGUUGAACUAACAUAACCUUAGGUACCCUCCCAACUUUAAGAUUCUCUCAUUCUAUAAUUCAACAUGGCCUAGGGAUGCUUGCUUAGUGUCAUCAUAUCCAACCUCUCCCAUUACUUGGGGCAACCAGCCCAAAUAUGACAUCAGCUGAGAAGAUUUGAAGGAAGGGGAAAUAGAACUGGAGAAUUUAUGAGAACUAUACCAAAGCACCAAGCCAAAAUCUGAUUACUACAUCAAUGUGUCAGUCUUGAGAUAGCCAGCUUCCAACAAGUAGGAAGUUAAAAAAUAAUCUUCAGAUAAAGAGAACCAAUGAAAUUGACCAAAUAACAGGUUAACAUGAAACUUAGAGAAACUGAAAAAAAAAAAUCUUGAAAUAGGCCAUAGCGUUUUGGCAGAUGAAUGGGAAGGGCAGCCAAGAGUCUCAGAAUGGUACAGUCAGGGAAUGACUAAAGCAUAAGCCAGAACCUUGGCGGCUGCCACAGUCAAAUAUCUCUGAAUUGUGCAGAGGUUAAAGAAAUGGAAAGAUUUCAUGAAUGCAGCAAUUAAAGCUGAGAACAGAUCAACCCAAAUCUGGGUGGUGAGGGGUGUGAGCAAACUCAACUCCCGCCAGAAAAUAGGAAGAUGCUGACUGCCAGGAUAUCUCUAUCAAAACCCCAAAGACUAAACCAUAGAAGCUAAGCCAAUAGCCUAGCAAUCAUCAGCAGAAGCCAUUGGUGGUGGAGUAUUAUAACCCAAUUCCACUGUUCAAACUACUGGGAGAGGAAAUGUCUACUAUGUCAUUCGAAAAAAGACAAAGGAAAGUAACUAUUGUGGGGACUUUAAAAGUGGAACCCUUCAAAUGGAAAUAGAGUGAUCUCCAAGUAUGUAAUGAAUGAAACGUGGCACGGAUUUGCCUUCCCUUGGCUCCUUUGGAAGGUGCUUUGCUCAUUCUUUGGAGCCCAAAUUCCCUUUCAUAUGACUGUGUAGUCGGUCUCCAAUUUUGACCAUGGUAUGAUUACACAGAAAGAGCCCAGCAUGUUUAGGAGUUAUGUAAACUUUGGAGUUGGCCUAAUACCGAAGAAGACUAAAGAGGUCUAAAGAAUGUUCUUGCAGCUGAGACAUAGGGAGUCUCAGGAUCCAUCUGGGGGUUUUCCAGUGUUAAAAAUCUUUUGCUUUGUGUAGCAAGAUGCUGAGGGAACUAAAGACAAUAAGAUCACCAGGUGGGACCUGCCCAGCAUGGACAGACAUCUCCAAACUGCGGCAGAGGUCACGUUUUCAUCUUUGUGGAGACCGUCUCCACUCAUGUUGGCCCCAUUGCUUACCUUGAAGUGUAAAUGAUUAAAAUGACGAGAAGGGAGCCAAUCUGAGGAGAAAAUUAUGAGAAGACAUCUAAAUAUGGAGAGGAGGCUUAACCUGUUAACAGUGUUUUGAGAGUUUACACCUUUAACUUUAGCUUGCAACGUCACGUGGUCUCCUGCAACGAUGCCCGUGAUGUAAGUCAUAGAUAUUGUGUCCUUGCAGGUCACACGGAACAAUGCGACCAUCAUGGAGUCAACUGAACCUUCUAAGAUUCCCUAGCCAGGCUCUCUCCACCUUAUCUCUCAUGUCUGGAAAGCUGUGACUCCUAAGGGGAGGGUCCUCAGUAAUAUUAAUAAAAGACCCACAACAAGAGAGACCAAAGACCCAUGGCCUCCUCAAGCAAUGCAACUUUAAAAUGAGAGGACACUGCCCUACAUUGCAUGAGGCAGGUUAUGGAAUUACACCAGUUUAGGCUGGAAUACUAUCUUCAUAUUCCUUAUUAGGGGACCCAAGCAAAGGACAUAACUCUGAGCUUUUUCCUAUAAAACAAGGAAAUAUCAUAUUGCUCCAAAGGCUAUAAUGAGGGUUAAAUGAAUUAAAAGUAGAGCACUUAACACAGUAUACUUUGCGAGCAGUAAAGGCUCAUUGAGCAACAGCUGUUAUUGUUGUUCUCUGCAAAGGCACAACAUAAAGGCAUCUUCGUCAAGAUUGUGAGAAUGUGAAAGGACAACCCUUCAUCACCCUCCAUAUCCUCCAAUGAGGAGCCAGUUGCUGAUUCAUCCCACAGGUCCCACUGACUGCUGUGCCCUCAGUGACUGCUGUACUUGAGAAGAAGAUACCAGCCAUUUAAAGAUGGGUAUUUAAAGAACGUUUUCUCCUACUCUCCAUUUCCUUGUUUGAGGCUUUAAUAAUGUCUAGAUUCCUAGAAUCCUGGCAGGUAAGAUAAAUUAGUAAGCAGUAUUCUGGUUUAUAAUUGUGUGUAGGAUAACAAUUUGCUACCCCAAGGGAAACUCUUUAAUUAUGGAUCUCUAUAUGGGAGCUAUUGCUUCAAGCCGGCUCCUUGUGGUUAAUAGUCUUGCAGGAUGGUUAAGCCAACAGUUUGACUGGUUUCUGAUGUUAAUUAGCUAAUUAGCUUGUUAAUUCAUUUAACAAAUAUUGACGAGUGUUUUCUAUAAACCAUGCACUGUUCUAGGUACCAGUCAUAGCACGUUCUAUAAAGAAAAACAAUGCAGAGGAUGGAGACAAACAGUGAUGGAGGGGGCAACGGCGUGUGCCAUUUCAAAUAAAGUGUCUUUUGAAAAGUAUGUGCAGAGGCUCCGAGACAAAUGUUCUGGGCACAUCUGAGGCCCAGCAAAAAGGCCAGAGUGGCUAAAGUGGCACGAGCAAUGGGAGCCAGGAGGAGGUGGGGUGAGCAAAGUGGUUGGGGGACAUUUUUAUUCAAAAUGACCUGUGAAGUCAUUAGAGGUGUUUAUGUGGUAGUCACAGGAGCUGACACAUUUUACCUGCAUCAUUCUGACCUGGCCAUCGCAUUAAGAAUAGAUAGAAAGGGGGACACAAACAAUCAUUACAGAGCAACAAUUAUUACAUCAUCUAAACAAGAGAUAAUGGUGGUUUGGGACUAGGAUGCUAGUAAUAGAGGUGAUAAAAUAUGGUCAAGUUUUGAAGGGAGAGCCAUUAGGAUCUGAAGGGAGAGUCAUAUUUUUAAGGGAGAGCCAUUAGGACUUGCUAAUUAAUUUGAAAUAGAGUACAUAAGAGAGAAAAGUCAAGGACAACAUCAAAGUUUUGCUUUGGGCACCUGUGAUGGUUAAUUUUAUGUGUCACCUUAACUGGGCUAUGGGAUGCCUGAACUUUUUGUCCAAACAUUUUUCUUGGUGUCUAUGAGAGUGUUUCUGGAUGAGAUUAUCACGUGAAUCAAUAAACUGAAUAAAGCAAAGUGCCCUCCCUAAUGAGGUGGGCCUCAUUCAAUCAGUUGAAGGCCUGAAGAGAACAAAAAGGCUGACCCUCUUCUUGAGGAAGAGGGAACUCCUCUUGCUAGACUGCUUGACCUGGGAUGUGGUAUUUUGCUGGCCUUUAGACUCAGACUGCAACUUUGGCUCUUCCUGCAUCUUAAGCCUGCUGGACUUUGGACCAGAACUUCCACCAUCAGCCUCCUGAUUUCUAAGCCCAUUGGAUUCAUACUGGCUCAUUGACUUACACAUCAGCUCUCCUGGGUCUUCAGUGUUCCAACUGUAAGUAGAAAUAUUCUGUGGACACUUGGAUAUAAAUGUCUAAGAUGUAGGGAAAAGGUCAAGGCUGGUGCUAGAUGGGCAAGUGUUUUUAUCUUGGGAUAAAUUUUAUAUCCAUGGGACUGAAUGAGAUCACCUAGAGAAUGAAUACAGAGAGGAGAGAGAAGCAGUCCAAGGACUGAGCCCUUCGGAUUGUCCGUGUUAAUACAUCAAGACGUUGAAAGAUACCUAGCGAAGGAUCCUGAAAGCGUGCUUCUCAGCAGAAGGACUGAGAGUGGUACACUAGAAGCCAGGGGAAGAAAGUAUUCUGAGGAGGAGAGAGUGAUCCGUGAUGUCAAAUGGUGCUGAUGUACGGAGAACUCUCAUUAAAUACGACAAUACAGAGGUCCCUGGCAACCAAGAACAGGUUCAGUGGACGGGGUUCGAGAGAGAAUGGGAGGAGACAAAGUGGAGACAAGAAUAGCAAAAUGCUUUCAGAAGCUUUGAUGCAAAGGAGAUUAGAGAGAGAGGGCAAUAACAAGCAGUGUUUGGGGGGGGGUCAAGGGAAUAUGUUUUUCAAAGAUAGGAGAUAGUAUAGGAUAUUUGUUUGUUAACGGGAAUGACUCAAUAGAGAAGGAAAAUCCCAUGACAAUGAAGAGAGGGAGGGAGGAGAAUUUCAGGUAUGAAGCCCUUUUUUAGGUGAGAGGAGAUGGGGGUUCAGACAGGGCCUGGAUAGACCAACCACAGUAAUGGGCAGAAGGCAAAGUUUAUGGGACAGGCGCAGGUACUUAGAGGAUUCCAUAGUGAGGGUUUGUGCAAGUUCUCUUCCAGAUGCCUUUAUUUUCUCUGAAAAUCCAGACUUUACCAACCUGGGUUUCAAUCACAGCUCUAUUGCUUGCCAGCUGUGUAAUUUUGAUCCCAUUACCUAACUCCUCUGAGCCUCAAAUCCCUCAUUUGUAAACUGGAGAUUAGUAUCCACUAAACUUACAAGACUGUUGACAGGAGUCAUUGCAAUUAGAGUCACAAAGGGUUUAGCAUAGUACUUGGCACAUGGUAAGUCUCAAUAAAUAUGACCAAUCAAAGUUUAUGAUCUACCACUUGUGAGAUGUUCACACGUACUCAGGAUAAACACACUACACAAGCUUGUAGCUACUAGUGUCUUCAGAGAAGUGUGAAGCAUUUCCUUACAACAAGGGUUGGUCUUGGCAGGAGGAGGAGAACUUAGGUGCUAGAAUUUUAUUGUGCCCCUUUAACCCCCCCUACACAAAGCAAACCAAAUUCUAGCUGUCUCUCUAUUUGUGAGAGUUUCUUGCUUAUCAGUUUAUUAGAGCCAGAACGCAAAUGUUUCUACAGUUUUUCCUGCUUUAGCUAUCACUGGUUACUUUUAUUUUUUGUUUUAUCUUGUUUUUUGGUAAAAGCACAAACCCACUGAUGAGAGUAUGUUCACUGUCUUGGGAAAAGGAGGAGGAGGAGUGCUUUUGAGGUUGGUGGUAGACAGAAUUCCUUGCCAGUGGCCUGUUAGGCCUGAGCCCAUUUGACCUGAGAUCCCGUUCUUGCCCUUCCUCUACUCUGCUCUGUAUUUCUGGGUGAGGACUCAAUCCCUCCCUCUGUCAAACUGAUUUGACACUGUGUUUGGCCAAUGGAAGGACUCUCGUGGGAACCUGGAGCAGAACAGAGAGAAGCCAGGCUAUUUCCCUGCUCCCUCUUUUCAGGAGGUAGUGCCAGGAAGGAUGCAUCUCCUCCAGAUUCCAGAUCCCUCCAGACAGACCCACUGAAAUCCUAGCUUCUGCCCGACAACUGAUCUCUGGAUCCCCGUCCCGAUCUCCUGCCACCAGGGUAGACUUGUGGCUUCCUACUGUUGCUGACUUUUGCUAUUACCUCAUUGUCUUCUGUUGGCUCUUUGGUUCUUUCAUCCAGCUAACCAGUUCCCUGCGUUACCUUUAGCCUGUUUCAAAUCCUGAGUGGCUGACAUUUGUCUGGUAAGACUGACUGACAGAGAUUAGAAAGGCUUCAGCCGAGAGUUCCAUAAGUAGUGAGGACUAAGCCAUGACUCCCUGGAGAGUCCCAAUUAAGAGGUAAUAUCUAGAAUGGUGAUUCUCAAUCCUGGCUGCACAUUACAAUUACCUGGG
rnacentral:lncRNA from 1 species